UUUCGUGAACUGCGUCAUUUCAUCAUUUGGACGUCAAAGUAGGCCUGUCGAGAUUUAUAUUCAUUUUAGUUCGAUAUGUAUAUCGAUUUUAAGGCAUUUUUAAUACUUGAUAAGAUCGAUCGAUGCGUUGAAAAGUUACACAAACUUUUUGUAGCUUCUAUAAAAUGCAAAAUGCGGGAGAAUGGCGGAAUGGUGCCGUACGUGGCUUCUAGGGCUUUUCCAAAAAGUCCACUAAAGUCUCAGUAGCAGCAACAACACUUUACUGAUCCUUUAUUUCAUUCCAUCCCAACUGAUUACAAUUUCAAAUAAGUUAACUUCAACUUUCGCUGCAUAUUAUUUUUCAUAUAGCAGAACACAACUGUAUGUAUUUAAUGAUUUGAAGAAUUUUAUAAACUCGACAACAAUUACAUUGCAAGAAGCCAAUUGCAAUGCUCAGAAAGUAGAAGAAGAAACGAAAACUUAUCAGUACCCUAGGUUUGAUUUAUAAAUAACUAGAUUAUUUAUCGUUGUUCUUGAUAUCAGAUAUGAAUUAUAUAGUUGUUUAAUGUAUGUUGUAUUCAAUAUCAAUAACUUCUUUCAAAUGGCAUCGAUUUAUUAAAAUUUCAUUGUAAACAUGAA